rnacentral:rRNA from 1 species
GACGAACGCUGGCGGCGUGCCUAAUACAUGCAAGUAGAACGCAGUUGCGAACGGGUGAGUAACGCGUAGGUAACUGCCUGGUAGCGGGGGAGAACUAUUGGAAACGAUAGCUAAUACCGCAUACUACCAGAUGGACCUGCGUUGUAUUAGCUAGUUGGUGAGGUAACGGCUCACCAAGGCAACGAUACAUAGUCGCCCUGAGAGGGUGAGCGGCCAGACUGGGACGGGGACACGGCCCAGACUCCUAGGGGAGGCAGCCGGAGGGAAACGUCGGCAAUGGGGGGAAACUUGACCGAGCAACGCCGCGUGAGUGAAGAGGGUUUUCGGAUGGUAAAGCUCUGUUGUUAAGGAAGCGGUACUUAACCAGAAAGGGACGGCUAACUACGUGCCAGCAGCCGCGGUAAUUC